GCACCUGCGGUAAUUCCAGCUCCAAUAGCGUAUAUUAAAGUUGUUGCGGUUAAAAAGCUCGUGGUUGGAUUUCUGCCGAGGACGACCGGUCCGCCCUCUGGGUGCGUAUCUGGCUCGGCCUGGGCAUCUUCUUGGAGAACGUAUCUGCACUUGACUGUGUGGUGCGGUGUCCAGGACUUUUACUUUGAGGAAAUUAGAGUGUUUCAAGCAGGCACACGCCUUGAAUACAUUAGCAUGGAAUAAUAAGAUAGGACCUCGAUUCUAUUUUGUUGGUUUCUAGAGCUGAGGUAAUGAUUAAUAGGGAUAGUUGGGGGCAUUCGUAUUUAACUGUCAGAGGUGAAAUUCUUGGAUUUGUUAAAGACGGGCUACUGCGAAAGCAUUUGCCAAGGAUGUUUUCAUUGAUCAAGAACGAAAGU
rnacentral:rRNA from 1 species